GGCCCUCUCCGCUUCCCCACCUAUCCUGACAGGCUGCCUGCAGCCCGCUGGAUCCUCCGGGCUGAGUCUCUGGGGAGGCCUCGUCCUUCCUCACUGGCCUCACCAUUGGUCCUCCCGCUGGUCCCAGCUGGUCCCCGGAUCCACCGCUGGCUUCAUGCUGCCUCUACAGGUAAGACAAAAAGGGGGGGAGGAGAGCCACACAAAGAGGGAGCAGAGAACACACACAGAACCAACACACAGAGCACACACACAGAACUCACACACAGAACCCACAUAUACAGAGGACAAAUAUACCAGGAGAAAGAGAGACAGAAAGGAACCAAGGGGGACAGCACAGAAGACAGAUACAGAACAAAAGAGACAGAUUGACAGAUUUACCCAUAAAAUGGCUGCCGUGUAAUGGUCCCUAGCCCCUUAAACACUUCACCCCCCAUAACGUUCCACCCCCUCACCCUCUCUACCAAUCCCUACUGUCUUGCUCAGUACAAGCUGUCAAGGC